AUCGAACGCUGGCGGCAGGCCUAACACAUGCAAGUCGAGCGGAGCGGCGGACGGGGAAGUAAUGCCUAGGAAUCUGCCUGGGAGUGGGCGAUAACGUCGGGAAGCGGGCGCUAAUACAACAUACUAUCAGAUGACCCUAGGUCGGAGGAGCUAGUUGGAGGGGUAAUGGCAUACCAAGGCGACGAUCCGUAACUGGUCUGAGAGGAUGAUCAGUCACACUGGAACUGAGACACGGUCCAGACUCCUACGGGAGGCAGCAGUGGGGAAUAUUGGACAAUGGGCGAAAGCCUGAUCCAGCCAUGCCGCGUGUGUGAAGAAGGUCUUCGGAUUGUAAAGCACUUUAAGUUGGGAGGCGUUAUCAACAGAAUAAGCACCGGCUAACUUCGUGCCAGCAGCCGCGGUAAUUC
rnacentral:rRNA from 1 species